GAUGCUUUGGGAAACAGACUAUUUCACCAAUGGAAGUGUCCUGCAUCACACAGGAGAAUGAUUUGUUGCUACCUAAGAAAAUCUUAGGUGUCAUACAAAAUUUAGACAUACCACAUAUUAGUACAGAUCCUUUCCCAGUGUGAUUGAUCAGGUGGCCUAUAUAUUCUAGGCAUAUGAAAUGCACUAGGGACAGUAGCUUGGAUAGAAUGAGGUUUAGAGAUACUCUAACCUUAGUGGUGAUGGAAGGGCAAGUAUUUAUGUUUAGGUGUAAAGUCUGUGGAAAAUUGGACAAGUGAGAAUGAAAGCACAAGGUCAGCAGAGAUACUUAAGUGAAGGGAUCCAAUUCGAAUGGUGCCUGGUCUCUGACAGUGGCCAGUAACAGGAGGUACUAAUGGUGCACUUAAUUACACCUCGCCAAUGGGGAAGUGGGGUAAGCUCAUGAUUGUUUUUAACUGUCUGGUUUUGGUUUGUUUUCAGAAAUACAGCAUUGCUAGGACUAAUUGUUGUAGGUACUUUGUUAAAAUACCCUUUUAUAGCUGUAGGAACCACACAGUUUCAUUCUGUGUCAGGGUCCUUACAAAUUCUUUUUUAAUACCAGCUCCCCAGUCCAGUCUCCUCCCAUAACUUCAUUUAAUAAUUUAUAUCCAAAAGCAAACUUGGUGGGAGAUAAAGGCAACAAACUGCAUGGUCUCUUGGAUCCUCCAACCCUGCCAGGUCCUACCAAACACUUGUGUUUUGAUUCAUUUGAUGUGUGCUCUUUUACAAAGGCGUGCUCCUUGUUUGUGCACUAGCAAUAGGCACAACCUGCUGUGUUUGACUUGAGUAAUCUCAUUUGAAUCAGUGCUUUUCUGCUCCUUACUUCUAUACUGGACAACAAUGCAUGGCAUUGGUGAAUCACAGCUCCUCUGGAAUGCUCAGAUAUGCUGAAUGACCCACAGGAACAAAACUCUCCAACAGCACUUCUGUGCCCCUUCCUCUGUCCUUUACAGUAACUUUGCUGGAGGACUGAUUUACAAAAAUGGUUUUACAAUUAGUCACAAACAGGGAUGAUUUCUUACUGAAAUUAGAUGGUCUAAGUCUUUUCUUCACGUGUACAUGUGCUGGCUCCUUCUCUCUUCCUGUUAGGAAGCUUUGCCUGUGUUUGGAAGUCACAGCAAGACAAAAAGCACAAAAAUAUGAAGGCAGACUUGACAGUGACUUUAACUAUUGGUUGAAAACAGUUCUUUUGCUGUGUGAUAACAUGUAUUGGGUAAACAUGUAAAUGCUUAAUGUGUGAUCAUUUUACCUAAUCAGACAUUCUUUUGUUGUGCUCAAGCUGCUAAAUCCCAGGGUGACAUCUUGGUUGGGAAGAACUGCAGGAUCUGUCCCAGCAUGCAUCUUCAAUGGAAAAUACUUGGUCUGUUUAUAAAACUAUUAGGUGUAAACCCUAUUUUUAAAGUAUUUAAAAUGGAUUUUUUUUUCUUUAUAAAAAUCAAGUUAUUAAUUACUAAUUGCUAACAGCUCAAAUCCCGUCAUCUAAUCGCCAUGAUUCCAGAGCAAUGCUAGCCAAAUCUGAAGUGAUUUCUUUCACUGUUUUCAGCAGAAUCGUAUCUUGGCAAUCUGGUAAGAAGGGGUCGUGCCUCAUUUAGAAUUCCACACGUUUCAUUGCCCUUGGUAUAAACAAAACAAAGGAUGUUUUUGACAGCUCGUCCUUUUAAACAUGAAAAUAGGAUCUAGAAGUUCUAACCUCUGAACUUUUAAAAUGUUAUUUUUCCCUUUCACUAAAUGUCAUGGAACCAGCAGAAGUGACGGCAAUGAAGUAAAAUAACACAUUACAAACUAGGCCUGUUAAAAGUGAGACAGAACUAAUUUUUCUACCAACUUAUAUGGAGGUCUGGUAGAAAGUAGUUUGGCUCCAAGUUGGCAGCCAUCAAAGCCAGAGUGCAAGCCAGACAUUUAAAGAUCUAACAUUACAAGUGGAAAUCACAAGAGGGUUUGAUUUAUUUAAAACCCAGGAAAGAUCAGACAGGCAGAGAUGAAGAGCCACGUAUGUUUUCUAUUAUUCCUUCCUUCUUAAAAUUAAAUGUAUUAUUUCCAAUUAAUAGCAAAAGUUGGCUUUUUGUUCUUUUCAUAUUUCGGUAGUGUCCAAAAAUAACAGUAAUUUGUGCUGUCACAUACUUUUAUGGCGAACAAAACAACCAACCAAAAUACUGUGGGUGGUUUUAAAUAAAAAGCUUAUGUCUGAUAACUAUUUAAAACUACUACAGUAAUUAGGUUGCUUUGCACUUGUCUUAAAUCAUGAGCUAAAUGCUUCAACCUCAGCUUUGUAGCUAUGGUAAGAGCAAGAAGUAGUUCAGAUAGCACAGUAAUUUUCAUUGUUUCAUAGAAUACUUCAGUAUUGCAACCUUCCUAAUGUUAAAAUGUACCUUUUCACACACAGGACUAGGUUGCUGUAUUCCUGUAAAGCAAGACAAGGUGACAGGAAGAUCUAUGUCUUGUGUGUUUAUUCUGUUCUUUACAUACGGUGUUACAAAUGGGAGGAUUUUUGUCAGGGUUCUGGAUCCAAUCUAGAUUAAUGUCACCUAAGGUCAUUAUUACUUUAUAUCCUCCUCAUCGCUAGCAUAUGAGUAAUCCCUACUCAGCACUGUUCCAGCUCUGUGUUUCAGCCAUGCCAGACUAUGCAAGUUUCAAACAACAUCACUUCUAGCCUCCAGUGAGCGCGCUGGCAAACCUCACUCCGUCCCAUUCUUGGAGACACCCGAUCCAAAGGCUGGUUGCCACGUUUUCAUGGGCAAAUGCUCUUGGACUGAGUCCCUUGCGCUCCUCGGCACCGCACAAAUCCCUUGGCUUUGCACUGAAACCCUGCCCAGUGCACUUAGGCCUUCCUCUGAGUUUCUGGGCAAGGAAGGAGGGAAAGGACAACUGAGGCAGAUGGGGUUUGCAUUGACUUCGACAGCGUGAGUCAAGGACGGACAUUGUAACAGCCUCUUGCAGUCAGCAACGUGUGUGGCUGAACCACUCCUCAAAUGGCUUGGCAGUUUGUCCAUGGAAAAUGUAAGUCUGAACAGAAGUGGUUACCAAAAGGACUAAAAUAGCAAAGUGGCUGGUUUUGGAUGGCUUUGACUUCUACAGAGCUCUGCAAAAGUAAUGACUGAGCAGCAACAGCAGGAAGAGAGCCCAAGAAGAUGCGGGGUGAUGAAUGAUGCCUCUGGUGUCGAGCAAGAGCUGUUCCGAAGUGCAUCCUUACAGCCAGAGGUGGGAAAGAAGGUCAGUAAUUCCCAAAACAACCACAAGUUAUACUUCUAUUUUUCUUGCAUGUUUCUCAUUUGGUAAAUUUUAGAUCUUUGUAUGAGGAAAAUAAAUACAAGUUCCUAGGAACCAAAACUAUGUCAGAAAGAAAAUCAAGCAUGGUGCAACUGAAAUCGGCUCUGGCAUUUGUUUCGGUUAUGUAACUGGACGCUUUUCUUUAACCUUUAGUCUGACAUGAAAACGCCAUGGGGGGAAGCUAUCUUCAUUAUUCCGUAUUUUGGUGUCCAAGUGCUUGACUUUGCACAAUGACCUGUUUCGUAGCAGGGUUUUAGUUUUAAUUUGUUAUAAUAUACCCCACAACCCUUAUGCUCUGUGGAAGCCCAUCUGCCUCAUGGAUGGAUCAUCACCUUCUCAAUCCAGAAGACCAGACUGAUCACUUCAAGGAAUGUCCUAACUGUUAGUAGAUACAGUGUACUGUGUGUGGCCCUUUGUGAAGUUUACAGAGUCAAAGGGAUGCUAUGCAAGGGGAUGUCUAUAGAUCUACUUACAACACUCUUGUGUUAGUAUCAAAACAGGUGUAGCAGACCAGUGGCACCUAGAAGUGAUGUAAAUCCAUCACUUGAGAGGCCCCAAAUUACAUUUGACAGCAAACCAAGUUGCCUUGGUAAUCAGUGAUGCAUUAGUCACAGAAUGGCUGCCUUACUUUGGUGUAAGUGCAGCUUUUGGAAAGGCAAAAGGUACAA